rnacentral:lncRNA from 1 species
CAAGGGGAGGCUUCGUUCCCUGGGGAUUGCUUCUGUGCAGAAACGGGAUAAAUGAACUUUAAAUAACCUUUGAAGUGAUCCCCCUGGAAGGAACAGAGUGUUCCCUGUGAAAAGGCGCUGAAGUCAGUUCAUGUGCUGCACACUUUUGGCUUCCCACUUCCCACAGGAGCACAUCAGAAGACAAGGAUAGCUGGGAGUGCAGCGAGUCCAGCAAUUAUUAGAACCACCUGAAAGCUU